rnacentral:rRNA from 1 species
GACGAACGCUGGCGGCGUGCUUAACACAUGCAAGUCGAACGGAAAGGCCCUGCUUUUGUGGGGUGCUCGAGUGGCGAACGGGUGAGUAACACGUGAGUAACCUGCCCUUGACUUUGGGAUAACUUCAGGAAACUGGGGCUAAUACCGGAUAGGAGCUCCUGCUGCAUGGUGGGGGUUGGAAAGUUUCGGCGGUUGGGGAUGGACUCGCGGCUUAUCAGCUUGUUGGUGGGGUAGUGGCUUACCAAGGCUUUGACGGGUAGCCGGCCUGAGAGGGUGGCCGGCCACAAUAGGACUGAGGUACGGACCAGACUCCUACGGGAGGCAGCAGUGGGGAGUAUUGCACAGUGGGCGGAAGCCUGAUGCGGCAACGCCGCGUGCGGAAUGACGGCCUUCGGGUUGUAAACCGCUUUCGCCUGUGACGAAGCGUGAGUGACGGUAAUGAGUAAAGAAGCACCGGCUAACUACGUG